AGGUAAAAUGGGGGAAUUGUAAGGAGAGUUUAUAGGCUUUAAAAGGCCAUGCUGUAGCAGGCGUGUGAUAACAGGCUUUAAUCUUUUUAAAGCAAGGACCGGCCAUUUACACUUCUUAUGUGGUGGCAUGUCAUCAGUUAAGGUGGGAACCGGCCAUCUGGAUAUGUACGUGCAGGUCACAGGGUAUAUGAUUGCUUAGCUUGGGC
rnacentral:lncRNA from 10 species